GCCCGGGUGGUGGAAUAGGUAGACACAAGGGACUUAAAAUCCCUCGGCUUUGCAGCCGUGACGGUUCGAGUCCGUCCCCGGGCACCA
rnacentral:tRNA from 1 species